AGCACCGACAGUGUCAGCCAUGGGCCAAGGGCCAGCGAGCAUGCAACAGUGUCCAGGUCCCCAGUAAUCAGCAUCAACCGUUGCCCAAGUUCUCUUUCUUUGCCCACAUUCUCCACUAUAUAAACAUCCUAGCGUGCCUAUGCUCCUCCUUGAGGAGCCGAGCAACAUGAAGAAUUCCUUCUGUGCGACUGGAGUAGCAAAAUCCUAUUUGCUGCCAGGGCUGUGGGAAUGCUUCGUUUUCCAUCACACAUCAAAAGCAAUGACUGUUCUCCAGGUGGUUUGUAUUAAUGACUUUGUAUUGGCUCCUGCAUUUGGACUCUACAAAUAGCCUGUUAAUACAGGGCCCAAAAAAAAAAAAAAAAUGAAGGACACGGAACUUUCAAGCCAUAACAUUCAUGAUAUUCUCAUUCUCGUCUGUCCUCAGCUGUCAAACUCUAGAUUUUAUGAAAAUUGAAGAGGAAAUCCGGGAAAAAUGGUCAAUGGAGAAAAAUUUUCGUUUAUUAUAUGGCGGCUCACAUCUAUAACCUAAGCACUGGAGAUAUGUAGAAGCCUACCUGAGAUACAUAGCAAGGCCUUGUCUCAAAGGUCAUCAACAGAUCACAGUCACUCCAAGAAUCUCAGCCUGCCAAGGUCUGAAACUUUCAUGUUUAUCUUCAUAAUCUGCCUUAUCACAUUCUCACACCUUAAAUCCACCCUCCCCAAGUCCUGUGCAGACAAUUACUUGAUAUCAAACGACCUCUGUCAAGAACAUGGCCCAGAAACCUGCAUCAACCUUUGGAGGCACGUCUAAAAUGGUUAACAAUUCCUGGAGUCCCUCCAGUAUUCGAAAAACAACUGGAUUAACAACCCAACAUCAACAAAAGUUGAGAAAACAUACUCUUUGACCCCUCCACGUGGAUGGCUGAGUCGAGUUCACUCAGGGCAUCAACAAGGAACGCCAGAAGGCUGUUGGAAUAGGGCUCUCCUCCCAGGGCCCCUCCCCACCACAGUGAGAUGCUAUCUGCUGUCAGGUUCAGAAUAUUCUUCCUAUCCGGAAUUAAGCAGACCUCCUUUUUUUCCUCAUUGGAGUCCUUCAAACACAGACCUGCCAUUUGGCGCCUGUCAUAUGAGCCCUGGAACGUUUGAAUCGCACCAAUGUAUAGAUGUUUCAUUGCAUCUCAAAUGGCUGCUUCUGGCAUACCUGGUACCCUCUUGGAACUCAGAGCUUAGGCUGGAGGGAACACCAGCUGACUGAUGUUGGGCGGGGACUCCCACUAACCCACACCCUGCCAGGCCCCUGGUCUGCUCAAGUCAGGCCUGGCCACUUCAGGCCAGACCUGCUGGGAAGAUUGACCCUCCACCAACUGCUCUGCAGAGCUCAGGGCUACAGCCUGCUGUUUGUCAUCUCCACCGCUGAUUUACUGACACUCCAAAGGACCUUGCUUUUCUUCUCAAGGUUAAAAAAAAAGCCCCAAAACCUUAGCUGGAAACAAUCAGACCAAUAGCAAGAGGCAAUAAGAGAAAAAGAAGCCCCCCCACACCCCCGAGACGUCGAAUUCCAGAGACUGCUAUAUUCUAAUUGAUGAGCUAGUUAAUUUCACGAGUUAAUUACAGAGUCUGUGUAUUCAAAGGCUUUCUGGUUAAUUCCCAGCUCUCCCCUCCAUGCCCCUCACCUGCCAGCCGUCGCUCUCUGGUGUUUUUCCAGAUAGCAUCCAGCGCCCUGGCGGUGGAGUCCCUGAUGUGGUCGCUGAAGGACCUCCGCAGCGGGGCUCGCAGGGGUCGAGCCAUCACGUGGUCGUCGGGGUCCCCCAUCCACCCGCGAGUGACUUGGGGCGGAACUCCCGGGACCCCCUUUCCUCCCGGGCGCUCAGGACGCAGGCAUUGCGGCUGGCGCUGCGGCCUCGGGAAGCGGCUGCAGGCGGCCUCCUGGCCCACAGCCCAGCGUGCGCUGUGGCCACAUCUGGAAAGGCUUAGGGCCAGCGGCUCCCGCGCCCGCUAUCGGGAUGCGCCCAGUGUAACCCAAUCACCUAGCUCGUUAUGCCGUGCCGUGCCGCUUCCUGAAGAUGCCAGCCUCCUCUUCCUAGUGACCCAGCAGAGAGCAGAGCAGGUAGCGCUGUCACCCAGGCUCCUUCUCAUCACCGCAGCAAUUGAUCUUCCUGGCCCCAGGUUUUAGAGCCAGCUGGUUGUUAGACCAAUGCUCACUUUUAAGUUGUGGUUAUGCAGUAAAGCCGAAACGGCUGCACUGUUUCUUAAACCGUAGCCUGAGUUUUUAAAAUAAAAUAUUCACCAGCUCCCUGUA